AGUGAACGCUGGCGGUAGGCCUAACACAUGCAAGUCGAACGGCAGCACAGUAAGAGCUUGCUCUUACGGGUGGCGAGUGGCGGACGGGUGAGGAAUACAUCGGAAUCUACUUUUUCGUGGGGGAUAACGUAGGGAAACUUACGCUAAUACCGCAUACGACCUACGGGUGAAAUCAGGGGAGCUUCGGACCUUUCGCGAUUGAAUGAGCCGAUGUCGGAUUAGCUAGUUGGCGGGGUAAAGGCCCACCAAGGCGACGAUCCGUAGCUGGUCUGAGAGGAUGAUCAGCCACACUGGAACUGAGACACGGUCCAGACUCCUACGGGAGGCAGCAGUGGGGAAUAUUCGACAAUGGGCGCAAGCCUGAUCCAGCCAUACCGCGUGGGUGAAGAAGGCCUUCGGGUUGUAAAGCCCUGUUGUUGGGAAAGAAAAGCAGCAGGUUAAUACCCCGCUGUUCUGACGGUACCCAAAGAAUAAGCCCCGGCUAACUUCGUG
rnacentral:rRNA from 1 species